UACGUAGGGGGCGAGCGUUGUCCGGAUUUAUUGGGCGUAAAGAGCUCGUAGGCGGUUUGGCAAGUCGGGUGUGAAAACUCCGGGCUCAACUCGGAGACGCCACUCGAUACUGCCAUGACUCGAGUCCGGUAGGGGAGUGCGGAAUUCCGGGUGUAGCGGUGGAAUGCGUAGAUAUCAGGAGGAACACCUGUGGUGUAGACAGCUUACUGGACCACUUCUGACGCUGAGACACGAAAGCGUGGGUAGCAAACAGG
rnacentral:rRNA from 1 species